rnacentral:siRNA from 1 species
UAGACUAUGUGAAACCAUGAAUA